GGGGUGAGUACUUGAUAAUUAUAAUAUAUGUAUAUAUAUGCAACUGCAUGUAUGUGAUGUUGGAUAUUAUUCUUAUGGCAUCGUAAGCACUAUCUACACCUCUUUGUAUAUAUACACAACAAAGCUACAAUGUCCGUAUCCUGCCACAUGAUAGAAGCACUGGGUUAUCAGGAUAUCACUUCAUGUUAUUUAUUUUGCCGAAAUGUGGCCGUAAUUGCUAUGAUACUUGUGCAAUGUACCGACGCAUGCACACACACACACACAUAUAUAUAUACAUCAGCACUACACCUUUAUGUUGUAUAUGUACUUGGGUUGUGAAUUCAUGUCACCCAUAUGAUAUAUUUAUAUAUAUAUAUAUAUAUAUAUAUAUUAUAUACACACCUUAUGUAUGUAUAUAUAACCUUAAGACCAAUUCAAGUAUGUUAGAGAUACAUUUAUAUCUGUAGAGGCGUUUCACAGUAUUUUGUCUUGGAGAAAGUUUCAAAUGUCUCUCAAACAUUCUUGGUUUUGUCUCAAGUUCAUAUUCUUUGCAUCCACCGCUUCACGCAUCUACUCGUGAUUAUGUAUAUAUAUAUAUGUAUAUAUAUAUAUAUAUAUAUAUAUAUAUAUAUGUAGUAGAUGGAUGUAUAUAUUUGGCUGCUGUCUAUAUAAGCUAUUACGAUUAUACAAUGAGCGUUAAUCAUGACUUAUGAACAAUGACGAGAAACCGCUACGAGGUUUCUUUUCUCACCCAGUGCUGCUAUAUAAGGCUCAUUCGUCGUUAAUUUGUUAUCCUCAUGUGAGAUUUGUAUACUGUCGCUAGGACAACAUCUGUCUAUAUUACAGGGUGACGGACAUCAGAAGAAACAGUUGUAAUAUUCACUUCCAUGACAUCAAAGUCUGCCUACAUUCGCUCAACCGAGCCCUUGAGGGGGCCUCCAUGCAGUCGAAAUAAAUCACACCCUUCAUGACUUUUCAUCAUACCUUGAAUUAGACGAUGUAGUCCUGUAUACAUGUAUACUGCUUAAAAGACAGGAUGGUCAAGGCAGGAAAGCCUCUAAUCAUUGGUCUGCUUGAUCUGGGCUAGCUUUUGCUUGGGUCAGCUUAGCUUUUGGAUGAGAGAGAGAGCCCCAAGUCAGAUUUCAGGCUCUGUGUGUUUGAAGGCUGCCAUCAGCAACCACGAGCAUUUGGUGUUUAUCAAACAUCUUUAUAUCGUUUAUAUCACACAUUUACUCACCACUAAGUGGAUAUCUUGAUACCCACUACAAAAUAUCUCACAACGACUAUAUAUAUAUAUAUGUAUAUAUGUGAUACUGUAAUAUCCGCCACAUCAGAAAAAGUCGUGGAUUAGCUGAAGUAGUAGUCGAGCGAGCAUUGCACAAAAAAUCACUUGCUGGUGUUAAGUUACGCCUCACUCUAUAUGUUCUGAGUUCAAAUACCACCACCAGCAGGGUGGGGGUGGGGCACUUGCGCCCCCUCCCAACCCCACGCAUUUUUUUUUUUUUUAAUGACCGAACGGUGGGGACUUUAUUAAAAUAAAAUACCGGUUGAAUAUAUAUCAAAGUUCAAUUUAAUCAAAUAUCCACCCACCCUCCAUCCGAAAUCAGAAAAAAAAAAA